rfam:Capsicum annuum cultivar Zunla-1 chromosome 5, whole genome shotgun sequence
AAUGCUAUGAUGAGGAUGAAUACCAUAUGGUGUUUGAGGGAAGUGGAAGACGGUUAUUCAUAGCUUUCUCCAUCAGCCUAUUUAAUUAAACUUCUUCUCCUUCCACUUAGCAUU